CGAGUCGGACGGGCGGUCGCGUCGGUGGCCGAGAGGUCGCCGCCGAGGAAAGUCCGGACUCCGAAGGGCAGGGUGGUGGGUAACACCCACCCGGGGUGACCCGCGGGACAGUGCCACAGAGAACAGACCGCCGGGCGGCGCGAGCCGGCCGGUAAGGGUGAAACGGUGGUGUAAGAGACCACCAGCGUGCCGGGUGACCGGUGCGGCUCGGUAAACCCCACCCGGAGCAAGACCGAACAGGGAGCGCCCGAGGGCUGCCCGCCCGAGCUCCCGGGUAGGUCGCUGGAGGGCGUCGGCAACGGCGCCCCGAGAUGGAUGGCCGCCGCCUCCGGUCCGCCGGAGGCACAGGAUCCGGCUUACAGUCCGGCUCGUCCG
rnacentral:RNase_P_RNA from 1 species